rnacentral:rRNA from 1 species
CGCGUAGGCGGUUUGCCAAGUCCGGGGUGAAAUCUUUCGGCUCAACCGGAAAAGUGCCUUGGAUACUGGCGAACUUGAGGGAGGUAGGGGCAUGUGGAACUUCCGGUGGAGCGGUGAAAUGCGUUGAUAUCGGAAGGAACGCCGGUGGCGAAAGCGACGUGCUGGCCCUCUUCUGACGCUGAGGCGCGAAAGCUAGGGGAGCAAACGG